CCGCCGCUGCCUCCGCCGCCGCCUCUACGGCCGCGUCAGAACUGAAGAGAGGAAGGGGAGGAGCCCAGGCGAGCCUAAGCUACCGCCUAAUCUUACCCCUGACCCUAGGGCGCGGAGAGAGAGCUCCGUAGCCGUUCCCUCCGGGGCAGGUGCGAACUGCUCCUCUGGGAGUGAGGAGGAGGCCAGGGACCGGGCUAGGGCGCGCACCACCCGAAGAUUCUGGUCUGGGAAAUAAGUUUAAGAAAAAACUCAUGAAAUUUAAGCUAUGGUCCUCUAGUAAAAGAAUUUUCGAGAUAAAGAACCACAGUGUUCAGAAAUCUGUCUUGAACCUACCCUUCUUAGCGGUCUGACAGUGAGAUUAAAGCAGCAGCUAAGAUGAAGGGAAACCGUUGUGUGGCUGGACCUGCCUGCACCCCGUCCCUCUGGAAGCAACAGUGAUGGGAGAUUGGGCCAAACACACUCUGCACACAUUUAAGAAGCAAGCCUAGGUUUAUGCCACUGCUGUACCACCUCAUGCAACAUAGAUCAAGAAAAUGUCUAUGUUGAUAAAUCAAGGGUUCAUUUUUUUGUUCAGAGAUGACAAAAGCCAAAAAAAAA
rnacentral:lncRNA from 1 species